ensembl:snRNA U6 U6 spliceosomal RNA
GUGCUUGCUACGGCUGCACAUAUACUAAAAUUGGAUCGAUACAGAGAAGUUAGCAUGGCCCCUGCGAAAUUGAAUGACACGCAAAUCCGUGCAAGCGUUCCAUAUUUUG